rnacentral:rRNA from 1 species
GGUCCUCCCGUAAGGGACAUCAGUACAGGUGGUGCAUGGCUGUCGUCAGCUCGUGUCGUGAGAUGUUGGGUUAAGUCCCGCAACGAGCGCAACCCUUAUUCUUAGUUGUUUCCCUUUGGGAUUACCCUCUAAGAAGACUGCCUCGGAUAACGGGGAGGAAGGUGGGGAUGACGUCAAGUCCGCAUGCUCCUUACGUCUAGGGCUACACACGUCCUACAAUGGGGUCGACAAUGGGAUGCAAUAUCGCAAGAUGGAGCCAAUCCCCAAACGGCCUCUCAGUUCGGAUUGUAGUCUGCAACUCGACUACAUGAAGUUGGAAUCGCUAGUAAUGGCAGAUCAGCAUGCUGCCGUGAAUACGUUCCCGGGUCUU